GGCAGUGAGUGAGCCCUUGCAGGUCCUUCUCAAAUCUCUGGCAUCUGUGUGAUGCACAUUCUCUUGCACAGUGGUAUGUGGAGAACCAGGACCUGCGACGCACAUCCCAGAUUCUCUGGGAGAAGGUGGCCGCAUCGGGCGAAGACCUGUCCGACCUGCCCGUUCCUGCACUCUCAGCGGCGACGUCCACGUCAUCCGACCUGACGAGUAAUGGCACCGCUGCUCACGACGAAGAGGUCGAGCAGCUCAGGCAGACAGUCGCGGAUCUGAGGCUGGAGGUGACCUGCCUCAGAGGUGAGCUGGAGCGGAGCGAGAGCACUGGCCGCGACUUGGCUGCCAAGAAUGAGCGGCUGUUGGCCGAGUUGGAGGCUGAACGGACUGAGCGCAGUCGUUGCCAGAAGUGGCUCGCUGAGAUGGAAGACGGUAUGGGUCGU